GAUGAACGCUAGCGGCAGGCCUAACACACGCAAGUCGAGGGGUAGAAGGAGCUUGCUCCUUUGAGACCGGCGCACGGGUGCGUAACGCGUAUGCAAUCUACCUUUUACAGAGGGAUAGCCCAGAGAAAUUUGGAUUAAUACCUCAUAGUAUACAUCAUUCGCAUGUUUGGUAUAUUAAAGUUCCAACGGUAAAAGAUGAGCAUGCGUCCCAUUAGUUAGUUGGUAAGGUAACGGCUUACCAAGACGAUGAUGGGUAGGGGUCCUGAGAGGGAGAUCCCCCACACUGGUACUGAGACACGGACCAGACUCCUACGGGAGGCAGCAGUGAGGAAUAUUGGUCAAUGGACGCAAGUCUGAACCAGCCAUGCCGCGUGCAGGAAGACGGUCCUAUGGAUUGUAAACUGCUUUUGUACGGGAAGAAACACUCCUACGUGUAGGAGCCUGACGGUACCGUAAGAAUAAGGAUCGGCUAACUCCGUGCCAGCAGCCGCCGUAA
rnacentral:rRNA from 1 species